rnacentral:antisense_RNA from 1 species
GAGGUUCGCGCUGGUGGAGCACCCCAGCUUGCAGGUUCAGCGUGGGUGUCUCUCCCGGGCACAUCGAGCUGUCUAGAGGAACCCUCUUCCCCUGGCUUCACGGCCCAGAGGACGCACGGCUCUCUCCCCUCGAGAGCGUGUUUCGUCGCCGGCGCGGGGAACGCAAAGUGCUAGGGUAGUCACGGCCACUUCACGCCGAGGGACAUCUCAUCUCGCCCUCCAGGUCGUGAGCGCACCCAUUCCGCUCACUGAGGCCGAAAGCUUCGGACCUCCGUGGGCCCUGAGACUUCAGCGUUCCAUGUCUGCUGUGCUGUGGAACCCAGAGUGCUCUUGCCUGGAUGGCUGAGAAUCCCUUGGACCCUGGAAGCACCUACUCCAUGAUGGCCCGCAGGAGGACCAAACUGGAGACAGUCCUGGCUCUGAGGAAACAAGAAGGAAGGAGGGUGAAAGGAAGGUCCACCUGCACACAAAGGAAAGAUGAAAAAGAAUCACCUACCAUGGGACCUGGCAAAGUACUUCAGAACUUUUAUUCCUUCCAGAAGCAGUGUAUCACAUAGAUUGAAUCAAGAAGUGACAUUAAGGCCAGCGCGGUGGCUCACGCCUGUAAUCCCACCACUUUGGGAGGCCGAGGCGGGCAGAUCACGAGAUCAGGAGAUCAAGACCAUCCUGGCUAACAUGGUGAAAC